rnacentral:lncRNA from 1 species
AGCAACUGGAGUAGACUUGACAAGGCUGGCUUUCCCAAUGGGCUCCAAAUCUUUCAGGUCAGGAACACGGUCAUGAUAAAUGAAGUCAUUAUCUUUUUUGGCAGCUGUAAGCGCACGGUUGAUUUUGUCAACCAAAUCUUUAACAUUUAUAUAUUCAUCAUAACGAGAUGCCACUGUUUUCACCAAGUCUGCUGCAUGCUGCAACCUCCCAAUUUCUUCACCAAAUUUCUUCUGCUGUUUUGCCAGGAUAGAUUGAUGAUAUUCUGCAUUGGCCUGCAUAAUGCAGUGCUUGGGCAGAGUAUCUUUAUAUUGACACUGUUUGUAAG